ACKGCUCAGUAACACGUGGAUAACCUACCCUUGGGUCGGGCAUAAACCCGGGAAACUGGGUAUAAUGCCCGAUAGAUCUGGAAGGCUGGAAUGCGUCCAGGUUCAAAGCUCCGGCGCCCAAGGAUGGGUCUGCGGCCUAUCAGGUAGUAGUGGGUGUAGCGUACCUACUAGCCUACGACGGGUACGGGUUGUGAGAGCAAGAGCCCGGAGAUGGAUUCUGAGACACGAAUCCAGGCCCUACGGGGUGCAGCAGGCGCGAAAACUUUACAAUGCUGGAAACAGCGAUAAGGGGACCUCGAGUGCCAGGUUACAAAUCUGGCUGUCGUAAUGCCUAAAAAGCAUUUCAUAGCAAGGGCCGGGCAAGACCGGUGCCAGCCGCCGCGGUAACACCGGCGGCUCGAGUGGUAACCGUUAUUAUUGGGUCUAAAGGGUCUGUAGCCGGCCGGAUAAGUCUCUUGGGAAAUCUGGCAGCUUAACUGUCAGGCUUUCAGGGGAUACUGUCUGGCUCGAGGCCGGGAGAGGUGAGAGGUACUUCAGGGGUAGGGGUGAAAUCUUGUAAUCCUUGAAGGACCACCAGUGGCGAAGGCGUCUCACCAGAACGGACCUGACGGCAAGGGACGAAAGCUAGGGGCACGAACCGGAUUAGAUACCCGGGUAGUCCUAGCCGUAAACACUGCACACUAAACAUUAGUAUCUCCUCGAGAGAUAUUAGUGCUGUAAGGAAGCUGUAGAGUGUGCUACCUGGGAAGUAUAGUCGCAAGACCGAAACUUAAAGGAAUUGGCGGGGGAGCAC
rnacentral:rRNA from 1 species